ACGACCUUACUUGAACAGGAUCUGUUCUAUAGGAUCGUACCGCUGCAUCCUUGACUAAUAAGGAGGCAAGCACUUAAGCUUGGUUGAUGACACAGGCCCUGUGGGCCAGAGCGUGAUUAACGGCUAGGAAUUUGGGCGGUGAAGCCCUGUCUGGAGCUGUGGAGGAUCGUUCUCGGCUGGGCCCGCCUGGCUGGGGUGGCUCACAGGUUGUCUGACAAGCU
rnacentral:snoRNA from 2 species